ACCAUCACGCUAGUCACCUUCAGCCGGCCACGGUUUCGUGUGUCAGUGUUGUUGGUUCCAGCGUUCCUUCCAGUCGUUGUCGUGUCUACUCUUCACUGAGUGGACCGGCCGAUUGGAUCGUUUACUUUGAAAAAAUUAGAGUGUUUCAAGCAGGCUCGAUGCUAUGAAUACAUUAGCAUGGAAUAAUAAUUUAGGACUUCGGUUCUAUUUUGUUGGUUUCUAGGACUGAAGUAAUGAUUGAUAGGGAUAGUUGGGGGUGCUAGUAUUCAGCGGCCAGAGGUGAAAUUCUCGGAUUCGCUGAAGACUAACUUAUGCGAAAGCAUU
rnacentral:rRNA from 2 species